rnacentral:rRNA from 1 species
UGGGAGCUUGCUCCUCGUAUUUGCAGGGGCAGGGUGAGUAACACGUGGGUAACCUGCCUGUAAGACUGGGAUAACUCCGGGAAACCGGGGCUAAUACCGGAUGGUUGUUUGAACCGCAUGGUUCAAACAUAAAAGGUGGCUUCGGCUACCACUUACAGAUGGACCCGCGGCGCAUUAGCUAGUUGGUGAGGUAACGGCUCACCAAGGCAACGAUGCGUAGCCGACCUGAGAGGGUGAUCGGCCACACUGGGACUGAGACACGGCCCAGACUCCUACGGGAGGCAGCAGUAGGGAAUCUUCCGCAAUGGACGAAAGUCUGACGGAGCAACGCCGCGUGAGUGAUGAAGGUUUUCGGAUCGUAAAGCUCUGUUGUUAGGGAAGAACAAGUACCGUUCGAAUAGGGCGGUACCUUGACGGUACCUAACCAGAAAGCCACGGCUAACUACGUGCCAGCAGCCGCGGUAAUACGUAGGUGGCAAGCGUUGUCCGGAAUUAUUGGGCGUAAAGGGCUCGCAGGCGGUUUCUUAAGUCUGAUGUGAAAGCCCCCGGCUCAACCGGGGAGGGUCAUUGGAAACUGGGGAACUUGAGUGCAGAAAGAGGAGAGUGGAAUUCCACGUGUAGCGGUGAAAUGCGUAGAGAUGUGGAGGAAACACCAGUGGCGAAAGGCCACUCUCUGGUCUGUAACUGACGCUGAGGAGCGAAAGCGUGGGGAGCNAACAGGAUAAAUACCCUUGUUAUCCACCCCUUAACAUUAAUGUUAUUNNUUGGGGGUUUCCCCCCCUUAGUCUAACCCUUUACCCCCCCCCGGGGGAAUUGGGCCCAAACUAAAACUAAAGAAAUUGAGGGGGCCCCCACAACGGGGAUUUUUAUUUUCUAAAAACAAACNUCCCGCUUUAACUCNUUACAACAUAAAAUAANCNCCUUUGGGGAGAGAGGUGUGUGUGUUUUUCUNUUNUAAAUGUGAUUCUCAACACACNCUUNCUACCUUUCUAAUAUCUGACAA